rnacentral:rRNA from 1 species
CGCCUCUUUAUCAAAAACAUCGCCUCCUGCAAAAUUCAAAGUAUAGGAGGUCCAGCCUGCCCAGUGACCACAAGUUCGACGGCCGACGGUAUUUUGACCGUGCAAAGGUAGCGCAAUCACUUGUCUUUUAAAUGAAGACCUGUAUGAAUGGCUAAACGAGGGCUUAACUGUCUCCCCUUCCAAGUCAGUGAAAUUGAUCUGCCCGUGCAGAAGCGGACAUAAAAAUACAAGACGAGAAGACCCUUUGGAGCUUAAGGUUCAAGCCCAGCCGCGUCAAACAACUUUCUUAAUAAGAAUUAAACCUUAGCGGAUGAUGGAGCUUUACCUUCGGUUGGGGCGACCACGGAGAAAAAUGUAUCCUCCGAGUGGAUUGGGUAAUAAACCUAAAACCAAGAAAGACAUUUCUAAGACACAGAAAAUCUGACCAAUAAUGAUCCGGCCAAUAGACCGAUCAACGGACCAAGUUACCCUAGGGAUAACAGCGCAAUCCUCUCCCAGAGUCCAUAUCGACGAGGGGGUUUACGACCUCGAUGUUGGAUCAGGACAUCCUAAUGGUGCAGCCGCUAUUAAGGGUUCGUUUGUUCAACGAUUAAAGUCCUACGUGAUCUGAGUUCAGACCGG